UGUGUCCAACUCUUCCUCACAGGUUAGUUAAUGACAGACAGUCAGUGAGUGUGUCUGUGUCCAACUCUUCCUCACAGGUUAGUUAAUGACAGACAGUCAGUGAGUGUGUGUGUGUCCAACUCUUCCUCACAGGUUAGUUAAUGACAGACAGUCAGUGAGUGUGUCUGUGUCCAACUCUUCCUCACAGGUUAGUUAAUGAUGUUACUGAGUCAAUGUGAGCAGAUUGUGUCUGUAGACUGAAGAGAAUCAGAGUCUCACUGAUGGUGGAAAUAAAGGUUUUACUUCCUUAAAACA